rnacentral:lncRNA from 1 species
GGAAGAGUUGUAUUAUAUUAAGGCUACAUGAAAAGGGUCAUUGACAGAUUUUUACUUUCAAGGAAUACGUGUCAAAUUUUCAUUGGACAAUUAAAAAAAAAAAAGAAGCAGACAAGUGCUAACGACAGAAUACUGGUCAACUUCCAUGUCUACUAACCCCAUCUAAGUAGCAUUACACUAUUAUAUUUUCAACAUUCUUGCUACAUGUACACUUCCCUUUACACCAUAACUUACCAAAAUUACACUUACACAAUUUCACACCACCUUUCACCUUUUACAUAUUUAAUCCAACCAUUAUAAAACUGCUACAUUAUUUAUCUAUCAACCAAGUAGUAAAGGAAGAUGUACAAAUAGCUUUACCCUAUUUUGAGCAUGUGUAUAAAGUGCCUUAGAAGAAUAUAAAAUAGGUUCGUUAUUAUAGAUGAUACUAUAUUUUAUGAUGAUCGAGAAAUUAACCUAAAAUUAGAGAAAAAUGAAGAAGACUCAAGAGUUGGACGUAAAUUCAAGAAACCCAAUGAUGAAUGGAUGUGAACCUUCAUUAAAUUUUUCAGAAUUUCGGUUAUGUUGCAGAUCUCGCCUUGAGCGGGAUUUGUGUCAACUUAAGUGCCUAGUUUUCAGAUUCGGCUCUCCCAACCUGCCAACAAUCAUACAUAAAACUCAUAAUUUUCUUUAUUUUUUGAACAAUUUCAACAAGUACUGCAAUGUAAUUGCUUAACAAAAAAUAUAUUGAACACAAAUUAACAAAAUAAAUCAAGCAAU